GAAAAAAAGAAAGAAGAGAUAAAAGAGGAAGGGAAGACAGGGAAAAGAAGGAAGAAAAGAGAGGCGACUCCUAGCAGCGGCCGAGCUUACAGAGAGAAGGGUGGAGGUGUGUGGUGGAAGGGGAAAGCCGGCCGGCUGGCAAAGCGCUGCGGAGAAAGACACGAGGCUCCUGAGCAGGGAAAGCCGAGGUUGCCACCGCAGGCCUGGCACGACCAGGGCCGUGAUGCCCCGCCCGGCCCGACCCCCGCGCGCAGAGGUACCUGGAGACGAUUUCAACUGAAGUAAUGAAGGCAGUGUCGUGCUGUCGAGAGAAAGGUGGAUCCCAACAACAGGAAACUACCUAAAUCACCGACCAGUUCUGGUGCUGCCCGCGAAGGGCUGCCUCGCCCGCCGCCGCCGCCGCCUCCGCCGCUGCCGCCGCCGCCAAGGAGAGAACCCUGCCAUCGCGCCUGGCCCGGCCCAGCCCAGCCCCUAGGCAACCUGCGCCCGCCAGUGCAACAGAGUGCCCCAGGCGGCCGCAAAUGCGUCAAGGAAGGGGAAGCCACAGGCCCCAGUAAGCCAAAGUCAAGCCCGUUUGCCAACCUGCAUGUCCAUGCCUGUAAGCCCUUCUCUUGGCCAAGGAAGAAAGGAAGAAAGAAAAAAGAAACCCAGGGGCCUGUAUCCCCUGAUUAAACACAGCACAGCACUCCAGGCAGACAUGCCCGGUGGCGGCUCCUUUGCACCAUUGACCUCAGGCCAGACACCUCAGCGCCAACAAUGGGACCUCGGCCUUCCGGCUAGGUUUGCCCCAGGCUGGGCAGGAAACCAGCUCGGCCGAAGACAGGGGCCAUUUCGAGCAGUGGGACCCCAAGACAGCAAACCCAGCCCAGUCAGGACUUGACACUUAGGACAAUAUCUAUCUCUAUAGAAUUUUAGCAUGAUAUGGCUUUUUCCCCCAGAAAACAACAAAUAAACCAGCACCAAGCAAACACAAAGAAACAAAAAGUCAGAACAAACCAGCCCUGCACAGAUGUAACGGCCCAGGAGAUGGCGAGUGUGGGAGGGAGGAACAGGGCUCCAGCACAGGUGCGAGUUCCUGGGCAGAGCCUGAAGACAGAGGGAGGGGACCAGCGCUCGGGAAGUGAAAAAACCGCGUCGCCUGGAGAUUCAUCAGGAAAAAUUAAAGUUGGCUGUGAGCUCCCGGAUCCGGUUUUCUCGAUUCAUUUUCUUCAGUUUCAUCCUGCGGUUCUGAAACCAGAUUUUCACUUGUCUGUCCGUGAGGUGGACGCUGCGGCUAAUCUCUAGGCGCCGCUCUCGAGUAAGGUACAUAUUGAACAGAAACUCCUUCUCCAGCUCCAGUGUCUGGUGCUUCGUGUAGGGGCAGCGCUUCUUCCGACCACUCUUUGCCGUGAGCCAGUUGGCUGCGUUUUCACCUUUGGAAUUGCCUGGCAUGUAAGAGAAUAAAGAGGGGAUGAUUAAGUCGAGGCCACACGGGCUGCCCGCGGGGGUGAAUUGCCUCCGUUUCUCCCAUAAGAGAGAUGUCCCAAGUCACAGAGAAGAGAGUCGUGCCCCCGUUUUUGGCUUGCUGAGAGCAAGCAGUUCCUCCAAAAGUCAUGACAAAAAUUGAGUGGGCCUUCAAUCUACAUGACCCUUCCAAUUUACAUUUCCC
rnacentral:lncRNA from 1 species